rnacentral:rRNA from 1 species
AAAGAAAAUAACAAUGAUUCCCUCAGUAACGGCGAGCGAAGAGGGAUAAGCUCAAAUUUUAAAUCUGUUGGGUUCCACUUAACAGAGUUGUAUUUUGAAGAAACGUUUUCUGCAUCCAGGAUUAGCCUAAAUCCUUUGGGAUAAGGUAUCAUGGAGGGUGAGAAUCCCGUUCAUGGUUAAUCUUAAGGAAGCUCUACGAUACGUUUUCCAAGAGUCGAGUUGUUUGGGAUUGCAGCUCAAAAUGGGAGGUAAAUUUCUCCUAAGGCUAAAUAUUGGCGAGAGACCGAUAGCGAACAAGUACCGUGAGGGAAAGAUGAAAAGAACUUUGAAAAGAGAGUUAAACAGUACGUGGAAUUGUUGAAAGGGAAACGAUUGAAG